UCUUGUCCACCUUUGUCUGUAUUUAAGUUUGCCUUCGUCCUUUGUUCCACAUGGUGUUGUUAUGUCUUUUCAAUGUCCUCAUGAGAUGUCUUUUGGAUUUUGUUCUUGAACUGGAUAAUCUUGUCACCCUGCACCUCGCCUGCAUAUUAUCCUUCUAUCCCAGCUGGUCAGAGUUGGAUUUGACCACCAUGACAACCAGAGAGAGGAAAUCUCUUCAGGACUAAAUCCAAAUUGGCACCUUGUUGAUAUUUUUUUUUAACAGAUAAAGUUCUGAAGAAAAAAAAAAUGGGAGAAUGCAAUAAAUACAUUGAGGGCAAA